AGGACGAACGCUGGCGGCGUGCUUAACACAUGCAAGUCGAACGAGGUGCUUGCACCUAGUGGCGAACGGGUGAGUAACACGUGAGCAACCUGCCCUUGGCUCUGGGAUAGCCUCCGGAAACGGGGAUUAAUACCGGACAUGACCUUCUUCCACAUGGUGGAGGGUGGAAAGUUUUUCGGCCAGGGAGGGGCUCGCGGCCUAUCAGCUUGUUGGAGGGGUAACGGCCCACCAAGGCGACGACGGGUAGCCGGCCUGAGAGGGCGACCGGCCACACUGGGACUGAGACACGGCCCAGACUCCUACGGGAGGCAGCAGUGGGGAAUAUUGCACAAUGGGGGAAACCCUGAUGCAGCGACGCCGCGUGCGGGAUGAAGGCCUUCGGGUUGUAAACCGCUUUCACCAGGGACGAAGCGAGAGUGACGGUACCUGGGGAAGAAGCGCCGGCUAACUACGCGCCAGCAGCCGC
rnacentral:rRNA from 1 species